GGGUUGUGAGGUUAAGCGACUAAGCGUACACGGUGGAUGCCCUGGCAGUCAGAGGCGAUGAAGGACGUGCUAAUCUGCGAAAAGCGUCGGUAAGGUGAUAUGAACCGUUAUAACCGGCGAUGUCCGAAUGGGGAAACCCAGUGUGAUUCGUCACACUAUCGUUAACUGAAUACAUAGGUUAACGAGGCGAACCGGGGGAACUGAAACAUCUAAGUACCCCGAGGAAAAGAAAUCAACCGAGAUUCCCCCAGUAGCGGCGAGCGAACGGGGAGCAGCCCAGAGUCUGAAUCAGCUUGUGUGUUAGUGGAACGGUCUGGAAAGUCCGACGGUACAGGGUGAUAGUCCCGUACACCAAAAUGCACAGGCUGUGAACUCGAAGAGUAGGGCGGGACACGUGGUAUCCUGUCUGAAUAUGGGGGGACCAUCCUCCAAGGCUAAAUACUCCUGACUGACCGAUAGUGAACCAGUACCGUGAGGGAAAGGCGAAAAGAACCCCGGCGAGGGGAGUGAAAAAGAACCUGAAACCGUGUACGUACAAGCAGUGGGAGCACCUUCGGGUGUGACUGCGUACCUUUUGUAUAAUGGGUCAGCGACUUAUAUUCUGUAGCAAGGUUAACCGUAUAGGGGAGCCGCAGGGAAACCGAGUCUUAACUGGGCGUUAAGUUGCAGGGUAUAGACCCGAAACCCGGUGAUCUAGCCAUGGGCAGGUUGAAGGUUGGGUAACACUAACUGGAGGACCGAACCGACUAAUGUUGAAAAAUUAGCGGAUGACUUGUGGCUGGGGGUGAAAGGCCAAUCAAACCGGGAGAUAGCUGGUUCUCCCCGAAAGCUAUUUAGGUAGCGCCUCGUGAACUCAUCUUCGGGGGUAGAGCACUGUUUCGGCUAGGGGGUCAUCCCGACUUACCAACCCGAUGCAAACUACGAAUACCGAAGAAUGUUAUCACGGGAGACACACGGCGGGUGCUAACGUCCGUCGUGAAGAGGAAACAACCCAGACCGCCAGCUAAGGUCCCAAAGUCAUGGUUAAGUGGGAAACGAUGUGGGAAGGCACAGACAGCCGGAUGUUGGCUUAGAAGCAGCCAUCAUUUAAAGAAAGCGUAAUAGCUCACUGGUCGAGUCGGCCUGCGCGGAAGAUGUAACGGGGCUAAACCAUGCACCGAAGCUGCGGCAGCGACACUAUGUGUUGUUGGGUAGGGGAGCGUUCUGUAAGCCUGCGAAGGUGACCUGUGAGGGUUGCUGGAGGUAUCAGAAGUGCGAAUGCUGACAUAAGUAACGAUAAAGCGGGUGAAAAGCCCGCUCGCCGGAAGACCAAGGGUUCCUGUCCAACGUUAAUCGGGGCAGGGUGAGUCGACCCCUAAGGCGAGGCCGAAAGGCGUAGUCGAUGGGAAACAGGUUAAUAUUCCUGUACUUGGUGUUACUGCGAAGGGGGGACGGAGAAGGCUAUGUUAGCCGGGCGACGGUUGUCCCGGUUUAAGCAUGUAGGCUGGUUAUCCAGGCAAAUCCGGAUAAUCAAGGCUGAGGUGUGAUGACGAGGCACUACGGUGCUGAAGUAACAAAUGCCCUGCUUCCAGGAAAAGCCUCUAAGCAUCAGGUAACAUCAAAUCGUACCCCAAACCGACACAGGUGGUCAGGUAGAGAAUACCAAGGCGCUUGAGAGAACUCGGGUGAAGGAACUAGGCAAAAUGGUGCCGUAACUUCGGGAGAAGGCACGCUGGUGUGUAGGUGAAGUCCCUGCGGAUGGAGCUGAGACCAGUCGAAGAUACCAGCUGGCUGCAACUGUUUAUUAAAAACACAGCACUGUGCAAACACGAAAGUGGACGUAUACGGUGUGACGCCUGCCCGGUGCCGGAAGGUUAAUUGAUGGGGUUAUCCGUAAGGAGAAGCUCUUGAUCGAAGCCCCGGUAAACGGCGGCCGUAACUAUAACGGUCCUAAGGUAGCGAAAUUCCUUGUCGGGUAAGUUCCGACCUGCACGAAUGGCGUAAUGAUGGCCCAGGCUGUCUCCACCCGAGACUCAGUGAAAUUGAACUCGCUGUGAAGAUGCAGUGUACCCGCGGCAAGACGGAAAGACCCCGUGAACCUUUACUAUAGCUUGACACUGAACAUUGAGCCUUGAUGUGUAGGAUAGGUGGGAGGCUUUGAAGCGUGGACGCCAGUCUGCGUGGAGCCAACCUUGAAAUACCACCCUUUAAUGUUUGAUGUUCUAACGUUGGCCCCUGACCGGGGUUGCGGACAGUGUCUGGUGGGUAGUUUGACUGGGGCGGUCUCCUCCCAAAGCGUAACGGAGGAGCACGAAGGUUAGCUAAUCCCUGGUCGGACAUCAGGAGGUUAGUGCAAUGGCAUAAGCUAGCUUGACUGCGAGCGUGACGGCGCGAGCAGGUGCGAAAGCAGGUCAUAGUGAUCCGGUGGUUCUGAAUGGAAGGGCCAUCGCUCAACGGAUAAAAGGUACUCCGGGGAUAACAGGCUGAUACCGCCCAAGAGUUCAUAUCGACGGCGGUGUUUGGCACCUCGAUGUCGGCUCAUCACAUCCUGGGGCUGAAGUAGGUCCCAAGGGUAUGGCUGUUCGCCAUUUAAAGUGGUACGCGAGCUGGGUUUAGAACGUCGUGAGACAGUUCGGUCCCUAUCUGCCGUGGGCGCUGGAGAAUUGAGGGGGGCUGCUCCUAGUACGAGAGGACCGGAGUGGACGCAUCACUGGUGUUCGGGUUGUCAUGCCAAUGGCACUGCCCGGUAGCUAAAUGCGGAAGAGAUAAGUGCUGAAAGCAUCUAAGCACGAAACUUGCCCCGAGAUGAGUUCUCCCUGAGACUUUAAGUCUCCUGAAGGAACGUUGAAGACGACGACGUUGAUAGGCCGGGUGUGUAAGCGCAGCGAUGCGUUGAGCUAACCGGUACUAAUGAACCGUGAGGCUUAACCUUACAACGCCGAAG
rnacentral:rRNA from 1 species